UUCCUCCCAUGGUUCCCAUGUCUUCUUAACGACCUUUGUGAUCCCCCUUACUUGUGCUGUCAAUUUGUCCAUGAGAUACGUGUCCUUCAGUUUAUGGAUUACUGUGUCUAUGGGGGUAAUGUGGGUUGGAGCCAAUUUUGGGCCAAUGCUCGCCUGCCAGCCAGUGUAAUUUUGUUUAGAAGUGCUUGUUCUGCUUUAGUCCAGUUGUCUUUU